rnacentral:tRNA from 1 species
GAGGGUAUAGCUCAGUGGUACAGCGUGAGCUCAGCAUGCACGAGGUCCUGGGUUCAAUCCCCAGUACCUCCA